rnacentral:rRNA from 1 species
GGUUAAGUUACAAAGGGCGCACGGUGGAUGCCUUGGCACUAGGAGCCGAUGAAGGACGGAACUAAUACCGAUAUGCUUCGGGGAGCUAUAAGUAAGCUUUGAUCCGGAGAUUUCCG